rnacentral:rRNA from 1 species
GACGAACGCUGGCGGCGUGCUUAACACAUGCAAGUCGAACGGAAAGGCCCUGCUUUUGUUGGGUGCUCGAGUGGCGAACGGGUGAGUAACACGUGAGUAACCUGCCCUUGACUUUGGGAUAACUUCAGGAAACUGGGGCUAAUACCGGAUAGGAGCUCCUGCUGCAUGGUGGGGGUUGGAAAGUUUCGGCGGUUGGGGAUGGACUCGCGGCUUAUCAGCUUGUUGGUGGGGUAGUGGCUUACCAAGGCUUUGACGGGUAGCCGGCCUGAGAGGGUGACCGGCCACAUUGGGACUGAGAGACGGCCCAGAAUCCUACGGGAGGCAGCAGUGGGGAAUAUUGCACAAUGGGCGGAAGCCUGAUGCAGCAACGCCGCGUGCGGGAUGACGGCCUUCGGGUUGUAAACCGCUUUCGCCUGUGACGAAGCGUGAGUGACGGUAAUGGGUAAAGAAGCACCGGCUAACUACGUG